rnacentral:rRNA from 1 species
GAGGUGUGGAUAGGGGAGAAAUUCCAAUCGAACCCGGAGAUAGCUGGUUCUCCUCGAAAUAGCUUUAGGGCUAGCCCCGUAUUAGUUUAGCGGAGGUAGAGCACUGAAUUCCUAAGGGGGCGUCAAAGCUUACCAAGGGAUAUCAAACUCCGAAUGCCGCAUAAAUGAUGUACGGGAGUCAGACUGCACGAGAUAAGUUGGGCAGUCAAAAGGGAAAGAGCCCAGACCUACAGCUAAGGUCCCAAAGUGUGUGUUAAGUGGAAAAGGAUGUGGGAUUUCAGAGACAACUAGGAUGUUGGCUUAGAAGCAGCCACACAUUCAAAGAGUGCGUAAUAGCUCACUAGUCGAGAGGUCCUGCGCCGAAAAUGUCCGGGGCUGAAACACAACACCGAAGCUUAGGAAUGUAGAAAUACAUUGGUAGAGGAGCAUUCUUAAAGGAAUGAAGCAGUACCGGUAAGGAGCUGUGGACUUUUAAGAAGAGAGAAUGCCGGAAUGAGUAGCGAGAUGGAGGUGGGAAUCCUCCAGGCCGAAUAUCCAAGGUUUCCAGAGUAAAGCUGAUCUGCUCUGGGUAAGUCGGGGCCUAAGGUAAGGCUGAGAAGCGUAGCCGAUGGACAACAGGUUGAGAUUCCUGUACCGCGUAUCAUCAGAACUGUGGGGACACAGAAGGACAGCACAUCCCGGGAAUGGAAAGACCGGGGCAAGCAGGGUAGGAGUUAAGCUGGCAAAUCCGCUUAACAAUCCGAAGCUGUGAUGCGGAGCGAAUUUAAGUAGCGAAGUGUGCGAUUCCAGCUGUCAAGAAAAGCCGCUAUUGUGUGAUACGUGCCCGUACCGUAAACCGACACAGGUAGAUGAGGAGAGAAUCCUAAGGCCGGCGGGAGAAGCAUUGUUAAGGAACUCGGCAAAAUGACCCUGUAACUUCGGGAGAAAGGGUGCCUGGGAAACCAGGCCGCAGAGAAUAGGCUCAAGCAACUGUUUAGCAAAAACACAGGUCUAUGCAAAACCGUAAGGUGAGGUAUAUGGGCUGACGCCUGCCCGGUGCUGGAAGGUUAAGAGGAGGGGUUAGCGCAAGCGAAGCUCUGAAUUGAAGCCCCAGUAAACGGCGGCCGUAACUAUAACGGUCCUAAGGUAGCGAAAUUCCUUGUCGGG